GUCCACGCCGUAAACGAUGUACACUAGACUGGUGCGGUUUUGACGCCGUAUCAGUCGCAGUAAAAACGAUAAGUGUACCGCCUGGGGAGUACGGUCGCAAGGCUAAAACUCAAAUGAAUUGACGGGGGCUCACACAAGCUGUGGAGCAUGUUGCUUAAUUCGAGGCAACGCGAAGAACCUUACCUGGGCUUGACAUGUACGUAUUAACUCCUUGAAAGAGGAGCCACAGUCGCAAGACCGGAACGUGCACAGGUGCUGCAUGGCUGUCGU
rnacentral:rRNA from 1 species